rnacentral:tRNA from 1 species
GGGUAGAUUCCCGAGCGGUCAAAGGGGGCAGACUGUAAAUCUGUUAGCAUUUGCUUUCGAAGGUUCGAAUCCUUCUCUACCCA